UCGGGUCUAGCACAACUUUUACACAGUGAAGCUGCGAAUGGCUCAUUAGGUCACCCAUUAUUUCUUGGAUCGUACAAUCCUACUUGGAUAACUGUGGUAAUUCUAGAGCUAAUACAUGCGAGCAAGCUCCGACCCUUCGGGGAAAGAGCGCGUUUAUUAGAUCAAAACCAAUCGGGCCUUCGGGUCCGUACGUUUGGUGACUCUGGAUAACUUUGAGCGGAUCGCACGGGCUUGACCCGGCGACGUAUCUUUCAAGUGUGUGCCCUAUCAACUUUCGAUGGUACGCGAUAUGCCUACCAUGGUUGCAACGGGUAACGGGGAAUGGGGCGGGGGCGGCGGGCCGGGCGCGGGGCGCGGGCGGGCGA
rnacentral:rRNA from 1 species